rnacentral:rRNA from 1 species
CCUACGGGAGGCAGCAGUGGGGAAUAUUGCACAAUGGGGGAAACCCUGAUGCAGCGACGCCGCGUGAGGGAAGAAGUAUUUCGGUAUGUAAAGCUCUAUCAGCAGGGAAGAAAGUGACAGUACCUGACCAAGAAGCCGCGGCUAACUACGUCACAGCAGCCGCGGUAAUACGGAGGGGGCAAGCGUUAUCCGGAGUUACUGGUUGUAAAGGGGGCGUAGACGGCAUGGUAAGACAGGUGUGAAAGCCCUGGGCCUAACCCCGGGAUUGCUUUGGAAACUGUGAAACUGGAGUACAGGAGAGGAAAGCGGAAUGCCGGGGGUAGGGGUGAAAUGCGUAGAUAGCAGGAGGAACACCAGUGGCGAAGGCGGCUUUCUGGACUGAAACUGACGCUGAGGCUCGAAAGCGUGGGGAGCAAACAGGAUUAGAUACCCGUGUAGUC